rnacentral:lncRNA from 1 species
GGAUUUUUCUGACAAGAUAUUUUGACUUCUCAUUUAUUCUUACAAUAUUUUGUAUUUUUUUCCUUAAAGAUUCUCUUAUUUUUGUGAAAAAUUAGUUUGUGAUUCCUUACUGCUUGCUGCAAACUUAAAACACUGGACUCCAAAUUCUCGCCCCCCUAACGAACCUGCAACUCAGACUGAAAUAUAUCAAGAAAGGGGAAUACUUUUGCAGAUAGAACAUGAAGGCGCGUGUUUAAGAUGAAGAGUCCUUUCAACCAAAAAGCUGAGACAGACACUAUUAAGAUCUAAUACUACUUCUACAUUUAUAUUCACAAGAUCCAAAAUAAAUUUUUGAUACUGCUCA